AUUGAACGCUGGCGGUAGACCUAACACAUGCAAGUCGAACGGCAGCACAGUAAGAGCUUGCUCUUACGGGUGGCGAGUGGCGGACGGGUGAGGAAUACAUCGGAAUCUACUUUUUCGUGGGGGAUAACGUAGGGAAACUUACGCUAAUACCGCAUACGACCUACGGGUGAAAGCAGGGGAUCUUCGGACCUUGCGCGAUUGAAUGAGCCGAUGUCGGAUUAGCUAGUUGGCGGGGUAAAGGCCCACCAAGGCGACGAUCCGUAGCUGGUCUGAGAGGAUGAUCAGCCACACUGGAACUGAGACACGGUCCAGACUCCUACGGGAGGCAGCAGUGGGGAAUAUUGGACAAUGGGCGCAAGCCUGAUCCAGCCAUACCGCGUGGGUGAAGAAGGCCUUCGGGUUGUAAAGCCCUUUUGUUGGGAAAGAAAAGCAGCAGGUUAAUACCCCGCUGUUCUGACGGUACCCAAAGAAUAAGCACCGGCUAACUUCGUG
rnacentral:rRNA from 1 species